UAACGAAUCUUCCGCAAUGCGCGAAAGCGUGACGGGGCAAUGCCGCGUGUGGGAUGAAGCCCUUCGGGGUGUAAACCACUGUCAGGGUCCACCAAAAACACGAGGAGACCCAAAGGAAGAGCCGGCUAACUCUGUGCCAGCAGCCGCGGUAAUACAGAGGGCUCGAGCGUUAAUCGGAAUCACUGGGCUUAAAGCGUGCGUAGGCGGAUCUGAAGGCGCCUUGUGAAAUCCCUCGGCUCAACCGAGGAACUGCUUGGCGAACCACGGAUCUUGAGGUCGGUAGAGGUGGUCGGAACGAUAGGUGGAGCGGUGAAAUGCGUAGAUAUCUAUCGGAACGCCAAUGGUGCAGACAGGCCACUGGGCCGCACCUGACGCUGAGGCACGAAAGCGUGGGGAUCAA
rnacentral:rRNA from 1 species